rnacentral:rRNA from 1 species
GACGUAGGGGGCGAGCGUUGUCCGGAAUCAUUGGGCGUAAAGAGCUCGUAGGCGGUUCUGCAAGUCAGCUGUGAAAACUCCAGCUCAACCUGGAGGCGCCAGCUGAUACUGCAGUGACUCGAGUCCGGUAGAGGAGUGUGGAAUUCCUGGUGUAGCGGUGAAAUGCGCAGAUAUCAGGAGGAACACCAACGGCGAAGGCAGCACUCUGGGCCGGUACUGACGCUGAGGAGCGAAAGCGUGGGGAGCGAACAGG